rnacentral:tRNA from 1 species
GAUAGCUCAGUGGUAG